UACAGAGGUGGCAAGCGUUGUUCGGAAUUACUGGGCGUAAAGGGCGCGUAGGCGGUUCGUCAAGUCCUGUGUGAAAUCCCCCGGCUCAACUGGGGAACUGCACAGGAAACUAGCGGGCUUGAGUUCGGGAGAGGGAAGCGGAAUUCCGGGUGUAGCGGUGAAAUGCGUAGAUAUCGGGAGGAACACCUGUGGCGAAAGCGGCGCACUGGACCACAACUGACGCUGAGGCGCGAAAGCUAGGGGAGCAAACAGG
rnacentral:rRNA from 1 species